UACGGAGGGGGCGAGCGUUAUUCGGAAUUAUUGGGCGUAAAGGGCGCGUAGGCGGCUUGAUAAGUCAAAGGUGAAAUCCCUCGGCUCAACUGAGGAACUGCCUUUGAAACUAUCGAGCUUGAGGCCGGGAGGGGGUAGCGGAAUUCCCAGUGUAGCGGUGAAAUGCGUAGAUACUGGGAGGAACACCGGUGGCGAAGGCGGCUACCUGGACCGGUUCUGACGCUGAGGCGCGAAAGCGUGGGUAGCAAACAGG
rnacentral:rRNA from 1 species